UAGGGAAUCUUCCACAAUGGACGAAGGUCUGAUGGAGCAACGCCGCGUGAGUGAAGAAGGAUUUCGGUUCGUAAAACUCUGUUGCAAGGGAAGAACAAGUAGCGUAGUAACUGGCGCUACCUUGACGGUACCUUGUUAGAAAGCCACGGCUAACUACGUGCCAGCAGCCGCGGUAAUACGUAGGUGGCAGGCGUUGUCCGGAAUUAUUGGGCGUAAAGCGCGCGCAGGUGGUUCUUUAAGUCUGAUGUGAAAGCCCCCGGCUCAACCGGGGAGGGUCAUUGGAAACUGGGGAACUUGAGUGCAGAAGAGGAUAGUGGAAUUCCAAGUGUAGCGGUGAAAUGCGUAGAGAUUUGGAGGAACACCAGUGGCGAAGGCGACUGUCUGGUCUGUAACUGACACUGAGGCGCGAAAGCGUGGGGAGCAAACAGGAUUGGAUACCCUGGUAGUCCACGCCGUAAACGAUGAGUGCUAAGUGUUGGGGGUUUCCGCCCCUCAGUGCUGCAG
rnacentral:rRNA from 1 species